rnacentral:lncRNA from 1 species
UUUUAUAUUACAAAUUAAAUUUAGAGACAAUGUUGUUACAACACUAUAAGUUCAAGGAGGAUAGGUGAAAUUUACCUCACUUUUGGAUCUCCUAGGGUCGGAUGGAUAGUCCAGGGCUAAUCUAACUUAGUUCGGUUUAAUUUUUUUUGUAGAAGGUUGAUUUUAAUUUGAGUUUGAUUUUGAUUCCUUAUAUUCUCAACUCAUAAUUCGUAUCUUUUGUCCUACUAAGCUUGAAAUGCAUUAUGCACCUCUUAAAAUAAAUUUUGAAACUUAUAAAAUUUUUAAAAAUUUAAAGUUUUCUUCUCGUGAUAUCUCUAGUAGGAUGAUAAUUGAUAUCUCUAGUAGGAUGAUAAUUGGUUGGCAAGUUAUGUUUUUGCGGCCAUAAAUUCGACACAAAUAUGAUUAAGUGUUGACACAAGCAUGAUAUAAUUAUUAAAUCACGUAUAAAAUCAAAAUACUAACAAUGCACUUCUAUUAUACAAGUUAUAUGAAUAAUUAAUUUAAAUUAUAUUGAGUUAAAGAUGAUACUAUAUAAGUAUUAUUUAUAAUACCCGGCUAGAUCCUGGCAUCGGAAUUUGGAAUUCAAAGAUGCCGGAGUCUUCUAGAAGGGUAAAAUGUGUUUUCUAAAAUGUUUUCACAUGAUUUUAUGGUUUUAAUGCAAAAGAAAUUGAGUUUUGAAAAGAAAAGACCAAGGAGGGAAGAACCCAGGUUCAGCCGCCGAACAUGGGGCUGUUUAGGAGGCACGUUAGGCUUUCGAAAGUGGCUUUCUUUCGACCGCCGAACAUGGGAUAGUUUAGGGGGCACGUUAGGCUGCCGAAGGUGGUGGAGUUGUGGAGACAGCUUAGGCCGCCGAAGGUGGUUGACCGGCCACCUAUAAAAAGGCCCUCAGAUAAAAAAUGGGCGAGUUUUCUCCCCAUUCUCGAGCUAGAGUGAGUUCAUGUCCUCCUUUGGUUGUUUUCAUACUUUUUCUUCAAAUCCCUCAAGUUUUCAUGAGUUGUGUCUUUGUUUUGAAGAGUUUUGAGCUUAAAAUCAAGUUUUGGAGCUUGGAGACCCAAGGAGCUAGAUUUCUCCCAUCUCCAAGUUAGGGAUCGCACCAACCCUCGAUCUUCAAGAGGUAAGUGUGGAUCUUUGCUUUCCUUUAUGUUUUAAUGAAGUUUUAGGAAGUUUUGAUGCUUGUGUGAGGGUAGAUGUGCAUGUUAAGGUUUAUGUGGGUUUUG